rfam:Parcubacteria bacterium GW2011_GWB1_44_7 TW71_C0012, whole genome shotgun sequence.
GCGGGUGUAGUUUAGUGGUAAAACGUAACAUUGCCAAUGUUAUGUCGGGAGUUCGAUUCUCCCUACCCGCA